rnacentral:rRNA from 1 species
AGUGAACGCUGGCGGCAGGCCUAAUACAUGCAAGUCGAACGGCAGCACAGCAGAGCUUGCUCUGUGGGUGGCGAGUGGCGGACGGGUGAGGAAUACAUGGGAAUCUGCCCAGUCGUGGGGAUAACGUAGGGAAACUUACGCUAAUACCGCAUGCGCCCUUCGGGGGAAAGCCGGGGACCUUCGGGCCUGGCGCGAUUGGAUGAGCCCAUGUCGGAUUAGCUAGUUGGCGGGUAAUGGCCCACCAAGGCGACGAUCCGUAGCUGGUCUGAGAGGAUGAUCAGCCACACUGGAACUGAGACACGGUCCAGACUCCUACGGGAGGCAGCAGUAGGGAAUAUUGGACAAUGGGCGCAAGCCUGAUCCAGCCAUGCCGCGUGAGUGAAGAAGGCCCUCGGGUUGUAAAGCUCUUUUGUCCGGAAAGAAAAGCGCCGGGUUAAUACCCGUGGUGUCCUGACGGUACCGGAAGAAUAAGCACGGCUAACUCGUGCCAGCAGCCGCGGUAA